rnacentral:rRNA from 1 species
AGAGUUUGAUCCUGGCUCAGGACGAACGCUGGCGGCGCGCCUAACACAUGCAAGUCGAACGAGCGAGAGAGAGCUUGCUUUCUCGAGCGAGUGGCGAACGGGUGAGUAACGCGUGAGGAACCUGCCUCAAAGAGGGGGACAACAGUUGGAAACGACUGCUAAUACCGCAUAAGCCCACGGGUCGGCAUCGACCAGAGGGAAAAGGAGCAAUCCGCUUUGAGAUGGCCUCGCGUCCGAUUAGCUAGUUGGUGAGGUAACGGCCCACCAAGGCGACGAUCGGUAGCCGGACUGAGAGGUUGAACGGCCACAUUGGGACUGAGACACGGCCCAGACUCCUACGGGAGGCAGCAGUGGGGAAUAUUGCACAAUGGGGGAAACCCUGAUGCAGCGACGCCGCGUGGAGGAAGAAGGUCUUCGGAUUGUAAACUCCUGUUGUUGAGGAAGAUAAUGACGGUACUCAACAAGGAAGUGACGGCUAACUACGUGCCAGCAGCCGCGGUAAAACGUAGGUCACAAGCGUUGUCCGGAAUUACUGGGUGUAAAGGGAGCGCAGGCGGGAAGACAAGUUGGAAGUGAAAUCUAUGGGCUCAACCCAUAAACUGCUUUCAAAACUGUUUUUCUUGAGUAGUGCAGAGGUAGGCGGAAUUCCCGGUGUAGCGGUGGAAUGCGUAGAUAUCGGGAGGAACACCAGUGGCGAAGGCGGUCUACUGGGCACCAACUGACGCUGAGGCUCGAAAGCAUGGGUAGCAAACAGGAUUAGAUACCCUGGUAGUCCAUGCCGUAAACGAUGAUUACUAGGUGUUGGAGGAUUGACCCCUUCAGUGCCGCAGUUAACACAAUAAGUAAUCCACCUGGGGAGUACGACCGCAAGGUUGAAACUCAAAGGAAUUGACGGGGGCCCGCACAAGCAGUGGAGUAUGUGGUUUAAUUCGACGCAACGCGAAGAACCUUACCAAGUCUUGACAUCCCUUGACGAUGCUGGAAACAGUAUUUCUCUUCGGAGCAAGGAGACAGGUGGUGCAUGGUUGUCGUCAGCUCGUGUCGUGAGAUGUUGGGUUAAGUCCCGCAACGAGCGCAACCCUUAUUGCCAGUUACUACGUUAAGAGGACUCUGGCGAGACUGCCGUUGACAAAACGGAGGAAGGUGGGGAUGACGUCAAAUCAUCAUGCCCU